AAAUAAUUGUUUAAUAGAAUAAUUUCUUCGUUCAAUUUUAAUAGGUGAGUUAUUGCGCCAUCUGUGGUUCCACAGGAGAUUGUCUGGUAUGCGAAAAUAGUUCAUGUUCCAGGUAAAACUUUAUUAUUUUCUAAAAACCUUUUCCUUCAAGAACAAAAAUUGAAUUAUUGUUAAAUAAUUAAUAGAGUGUUUUGCUCGUAUUGCGUGGAGCUGCUGGUUGGCGAUGGAUCGAUGUCCGUCAUCAGGCAAAAGACGCCGUGGUUUUGCUUCCUCUGCGCCAGUUUCACCAUCACAAUAAUCCCACGGCCUCCUUCAGCCUCGCUCCGACUGGGCCUUAAAAGUAUUUUAUUUUGUUCACUAGCUAUUUUCCAGAAUAUUCUUUAACAGUUUCUCCGACAGCUGAAAUAAAAGCUUCCUCCACCAAAAUUUAUACACAUCGACAUCUGUCCAAGAAAGGGCAACCUUCUCUUUGCGUCGUCAUACUCCACGACAAUCUCGGAGCCGUCAACUACGCCCUUAAUUCACUGCGACUUGAAUUGGAGUAUGGAGAAGCUUUUUUCGAUUUUUUCCACGUCAAGAAUUGCAUCUAACGCAACAACGAGGAAACGCCACUCUUGUGGGCUGUGGAAAAUGUCGCCAGCUACCACAUAACCAUUUCCAGAUUUCUCCAGAUGGAACCGAUAUUCAACAUGAAGGAUGCCCAAGGUUCCACCAAACAUCGUCUGGUGUCGGAACAGAAUUUCAAUCCGCAAUUGGACGAGCAAUUCAUCAACAACGACCAUUCGGUUCGUCCAUUUCCAGUCUUCCGCCCAGCCGAGAGCCUUUUUUCACCAAAUACUCUUGGAUUCUUGAAGAUAUCGUGGCCAUAAACCAACCCCUGCCAGCCAACUGGCAGGAGAAACACGACCAGAUGCUGUUUCAGCGCGAUAUACUCGAAGUAAGACGAAAACAAUUAAAGCUCCAGCCUUUUUGGAGCAUUACUCGGUCGUCCAGCUGACUCAUAAAACGGCCAAGAAGAAGAGGAAAUUGAGCAGUGAUCUCCGCCCGUGUUGGAAACUUUGCGAAGCCGUCGGCAGUGCUGACGAGGACAGCGACGGAAUUAGUGACGAAACGGGCGACUUUUCGCUUUUCUGACGGAUCAAGCCACCGAUCGUGUUUCCCCGUGCCGUUUCCGGAGUACGUGUUUCAUGUGGAAGAAGCUGAAGUACAUCAAGAACUAAUGAAUUGUAGUUUGCCCGUGUCUCUGUUGAUUAACAUUUUCAACUGCCGUUGAAGAUUUGAAGUUGGUCCGUGUCGUUGGUCCUAAAUAAACCGCGGAUGUACAUUAUACAGCCUAAAUGAUUCAUUCGACGACGAUAUUAUAUAAUGGUCUGAUGGACUAUAUAUGAGCUAAAUAGAUGGCAGAUGGCUGCAUGAUGUUGUCAGUCGACAAAGUCGUGCUUUCAAAAUAGUUUCUUUUUCUCAAUUAUUAUAGCUAGUUAUAUUUUUUACGAAAUUUUGAUCGUGUUAUUGCCGCAUUGUAACUGAGGGUGUAGUUUUAUUUAUUCCUUUGUCCAUGUAUUAUAAUAAGACAAGGGA